rnacentral:rRNA from 1 species
UACGGGGGGGGCAAGCGUUGUUCGGAAUUACUGGGCGUAAAGGGCGCGUAGGCGGCCUUCUAAGUCGGACGUGAAAGCCCUCGGCUUAACCGAGGAACUGCGUCUGAUACUGGAAGGCUUGAAUCCGGGAGAGGGAUGUGGAAUUCCAGGUGUAGCGGUGAAAUGCGUAGAUAUCUGGAGGAACACCGGUGGCGAAGGCGGCAUCCUGGACCGGCAUUGACGCUGAGGCGCGAAAGCUAGGGGAGCAAACGGG